GCUGGAAACGGCGUCUAAUACUGGAUAUGUGACGUGACCGCAUGGUCUGCGUUUGGAAAGAUUUUUCGGUUGGGGAUGGGCUCGCGGCCUAUCAGCUUGUUGGUGAGGUAAUGGCUCACCAAGGCGUCGACGGGUAGCCGGCCUGAGAGGGUGACCGGCCACACUGGGACUGAGACACGGCCCAGACUCCUACGGGAGGCAGCAGUGGGGAAUAUUGCACAAUGGGCGAAAGCCUGAUGCAGCAACGCCGCGUGAGGGAUGACGGCCUUCGGGUUGUAAACCUCUUUUAGCAGGGAAGAAGCGAAAGUGACGGUACCUGCAGAAAAAGCGCCGGCUAACUACGUGCCAGCAGCCGCGGUAAUACGUAGGGCGCAAGCGUUAUCCGGAAUUAUUGGGCGUAAAGAGCUCGUAGGCGGUUUGUCGCGUCUGCUGUGAAAUCCCGAGGCUCAACCUCGGGCCUGCAGUGGGUACGGGCAGACUAGAGUGCGGUAGGGGAGAUUGGAAUUCCUGGUGUAGCGGUGGAAUGCGCAGAUAUCAGGAGGAACACCGAUGGCGAAGGCAGAUCUCUGGGCCGUAACUGACGCUGAGGAGCGAAAGGGUGGGGAGCAAACAGGCUUAGAUACCCUGGUAGUCCACCCCGUAAACGUUGGGAACUAGUUGUGGGGUCCAUUCCACGGAUUCCGUGACGCAGCUAACGCAUUAAGUUCCCCGCCUGGGGAGUACGGCCGCAAGGCUAAAACUCAAAGGAAUUGACGGGGACCCGCACAAGCGGCGGAGCAUGCGGAUUAAUUCGAUGCAACGCGAAGAACCUUACCAAGGCUUGACAUAUACGAGAACGGGCCAGAAAUGGUCAACUCUUUGGACACUCGUAAACAGGUGGUGCAUGGUUGUCGUCAGCUCGUGUCGUGAGAUGUUGGGUUAAGUCCCGCAACGAGCGCAACCCUCGUUCUAUGUUGCCAGCACGUAAUGGUGGGAACUCAUGGGAUACUGCCGGGGUCAACUCGGAGGAAGGUGGGGAUGACGUCAAAUCAUCAUGCCCCUUAUGUCUUGGGCUUCACGCAUGCUACAAUGGCCGGUACAAAGGGCUGCAAUACCGUGAGGUGGAGCGAAUCCCAAAAAGCCGGUCCCAGUUCGGAUUGAGGUCUGCAACUCGACCUCAUGAAGUCGGAGUCGCUAGUAAUCGCAGAUCAGCAACGCUGCGGUGAAUACGUUCCCGGGUCUUGUACACACCGCCCGUCAAGGCAUGAAAGUCGGUAACACCUGAAGCCGGUGGCCUAACC
rnacentral:rRNA from 1 species